GACGGAGGAUGCAAGUGUUAUCCGGAAUCACUGGGCGUAAAGCGUCUGUAGGUGGUUUAAUAAGUCAACUGUUAAAUCUUGAGGCUCAACCUCAAAAUCGCAGUCGAAACUGUUAGGCUAGAGUAUAGUAGGGGUAAAGGGAAUUUCCAGUGGAGCGGUGAAAUGCGUAGAGAUUGGAAAGAACACCGAUGGCGAAGGCACUUUACUGGGCUAUUACUGACACUGAGAGACGAAAGCUAGGGUAGCAAAUGGG
rnacentral:rRNA from 1 species